GUGGGGAAUAUUGGACAAUGGGCGAAAGCCUGAUCCAGCAAUGCCGCGUGGGUGAAGAAGGUCUUCGGAUUGUAAAGCCCUUUCGGCGGGGACGAUGAUGACGGUACCCGCAGAAGAAGCCCCGGCUAACUUCGUGCCAGCAGCCGCGGUAAUACGAAGGGGGCUAGCGUUGCUCGGAAUGACUGGGCGUAAAGGGCGCGUAGGCGGCUUGUACAGUCAGGCGUGAAAUUCCCGGGCUUAACCUGGGGACUGCGCUUGAUACGUGCGGGCUUGAGUGCGGAAGAGGGUCGUGGAAUUCCCAGUGUAGAGGUGAAAUUCGUAGAUAUUGGGAAGAACACCGGUGGCGAAGGCGGCGACCUGGUCCGUUACUGACGCUGAGGCGCGAAAGCGUGGGGAGCAAACAGGAUUAGAUACCCGUGUAGUCC
rnacentral:rRNA from 1 species